CAGUCGCCACGGGAAUACGUAGGGUCCGAGCGUUGUCCGGAAUUAUUGGGCGUAAAGGGCUCGUAGGCGGUUUGUUGCGUCGGGAGUGAAAACCCAGGGCUUAACUUUGGGCUUGCUUUCGAUACGGGCAGACUUGAGGCAUUGAGGGGAGAACGGAAUUCCUGGUGUAGCGGUGAGAUGCGCAGAUAUCAGGAGGAACACCGGUGGCGAAGGCGGCUUCCUGGAAGAUACCUGACUCUGAAACACGAAAGCCAGGGGAGCGAAUGGGAUUAGAUACCCCGGUAGUCCCUGUCUCUUAUAA
rnacentral:rRNA from 1 species